rnacentral:rRNA from 1 species
UAGGGAAUAUUAGAAAUGGACGAAAGUCUGAUCUAGCAACACCGCGUGUGCGAAGAAGGCCUUCGGGUUGUAAAGCACUUUUUGAGAGGAUGAGGAAGGACGGUACUCUCAGAAUAAGUCUCGGCUAACUACGUGCCAGCAGCCGCGGUAAAACGUAGGAGGCAAGCGUUAUCCGGAUUUACUGGGCGUAAAGCGCAUGCAGGUGGUUUUGUAAGUUGGAUGUGAAAGCUCCUGGCUUAACUGGGAGAGGUCGUUCAAAACUACAAGACUUGAGAUUGGUAGAGGAAAAUGGAAUUCCGGGUGUAGUGGUGAAAUGCGUAGAUAUCCGGAGGAACACCAGUGGCGAAAGCGGUUUUCUGGACCAAUUCUGACACUCAGAUGCGAAAGCUAAGGUAGCAAACG